AAGAAGCCCUUUCGGUGUGACGGGUACGUGCAGAGGAAGUACCGGCUAACUACCUGCCAGCAGCCCGCCGUAAUACGUAGGGUACAAGCGUUGUCCGGAAGUAUUGGGCGUAAAGAGCUCGUAGGCGGUCCGUCGCGUCUGCUGUGGAAUCGCAAGGCUCAACCUUGCGUGUGCAGUGGGUACGGGCGGACUAGAGUGCAGUAGGGGAGUCUGGAAUUCCUGGUGUAGCGGUGAAAUGCGCAGAUAUCAGGAGGAACACCGGUGGCGAAGACGGGACUCUGGGCUGUUACUGACGCUGAGGAGCGAAAGCAUGGGGAGCGAACAGGAUUAGAUACCCUGGUAGUCCAUGCCGUAAACGUUGGGCACUAGGUGUGGGGCUCAUUCCACGAGUUCCGCGCCGCAGCUAACGCAUUAAGUGCCCCGCCUGGGGAGUACGGCCGCAAGGCUAAAACUCAAAGGAAUUGACGGGGGCCCGCACAAGCGGCGGAGCAUGCGGAUUAAUUCGAUGCAACGCGAAGAACCUUACCAAGGCUUGACAUACACCGGAAUGGGCCAGAGAUGGUUCAGCCCUUUGGGCUGGUGUACAGGUGGUGCAUGGUUGUCGUCAGCUCGUGUCGUGAGAUGUUGGGUUAAGUCCCGCAACGAGCGCAACCCUCGUUCUAUGUUGCCAGCACGUGAUGGUGGGAACUCAUAGGAGACUGCCGGGGUCAACUCGGAGGAAGGUGGGGAUGACGUCAAAUCAUCAUGCCCUUUAUGUCUUGGGCUUCACGCAUGCUACAAUGGUUGGUACAAAGGGUGGCGAGACCGCGAGGUGGAGCGAAUCCCAGAAAGCCGAUCUCAGUUCGGAUCGUAGUCUGCAACUCGACUACGUGAAGUCGGAGUCGCUAGUAAUCGCAGAU
rnacentral:rRNA from 1 species